rnacentral:ncRNA from 1 species
UCUAGUUUGACAUUGUGAAGAGUCAUGAGAGGUGUAGCAUAGGUGGGAGACUUCGGUCGUCAAUGAAAUACCACCACUUUCAUCGAUUCUUUACUUAUCCGGUGACCAGUUCGUUUUUAAAAUAUUUACAAAAGAGUCGUGGACGCAAACUUAUGCUUUAACCUAGUAAUAUGUUUCAACGCUGGAGAGAUGGGAUCUAACAUCACACCGUGAACCAUACCAGGAAGUAA